rnacentral:rRNA from 1 species
UGGGGAAUAUUGCACAAUGGGGAACCCGUAGCAUGCAGCGACGCCGCGUGAAGGAAGAAGUAUCUCGGUAUGUAAACUUCUAUCAGCAGGGAAGAAAAUGACGGUAGCCGAGGAGGAAGCCACGGCUAACUACGUGCCAGCAGCCGCGGUAAUACGUAGGUGGCAAGCGUUGUCCGGAAUUACUGGGUGUAAAGGGAGCGUAGGCGGGAAGCAAGUUGAUUGUCUAAACUAUGGGCUCAACCCAUAGUCGCGAUCAAAACUGUUUUUGCUUGAGUGAAGUAGAGGUAAGCGGAAUUCCUAGUGUAGCGGUGAAAUGCGUAAAUAUUAGGAGGAACACCAGUGGCGAAGGCGGCUUACUGGGCUUUAACUGACGCUGAGGCUCGAAAGCGUGGGUAGCAAACAGGAUUAGAUACC